rnacentral:rRNA from 1 species
AGUGAACGCUGGCGGUAGGCCUAACACAUGCAAGUCGAACGGAAGCACAGUAAGAGCUUGCUCUUACGGGUGGCGAGAGGCGGAAGGGUGAGGAAAACAUCGGAAUCUACUUUUUCGUGGGGGUUAACGUAGGGAAACUUACGCUAAUAUCGCAUACGACCUACGGGUGAAAGCAGGGGAUAUUCGGACCUUGCGCGAUUGAAUGAGCCGAUGUCGGAGUAGCUAGUUGGCGGGGUAAAGACCCACCCAGGCGACGAUACGUAGCUGGACUGAGUGGAGGGUCGGCCACACGGGAACGGGGACGCGGUCAAUGGUCCUACGGUAGGGAGCAGUGGGGAAUAGUGGACAGUGGGGGGGAGCCUUGUCCAGCCAGACCGCGUGUGUGAAGGAGACCUUCGGGUUGUAAAGCCCUUUUGUUGGUAGAGAAAAGCAUCAGGUUAAUACCCCGCGGUUCUGACGGUACCCAAUGAAUAAGCACCGGCUAACUACGUG